GUGGAUUAGAUACCCUGGUAGUCCACGCCGUAAACGAUGGAUACUAGCUGUUCGGAGCAAUCUGAGUGGCUAAGCGAAAGUGAUAAGUAGCCCACCUGGGGAGUACGCACGCAAGUGUGAAACUCAAAGGAAUUGACGGGGGCCCGCACAAGCGGUGGAGCAUGUGGUUUAAUUCGAUGAUACGCGAGGAACCUUACCAGGGCUUAAAUGGGAGUGGACAGCUUAGGAAACUAGGCCUUCUUCGGACCA
rnacentral:rRNA from 1 species